GAAAGCGAGACUUUUGAAAUGUCAUGCCAAAUAUUGGCUCAUUUUGGAUUUCAUGAGGUCUCUCUCCAGCUCUAGCGUGGUCUCUCCUACUUACACAAGCACAAGCGUGCCAGUUUGGGCGUCUGUUGUGAGUGUUGAGACUAAAGUGAGUGCUCAGACCGAAAUCAGCAGCUCUGUGUCAAAUCACACAUAUGCUGGCAGCAUUCAGACUCAAACCAUCAGCUCUCUGCCAAUGCUGACAUAUGCUGAAAGAGCCGAAGUGAUGACUGAUAUGUCAGUCCCGGAGACAGGCACUGAUUCUGUGACAAUGGAUAUGUCAGUCCUAGAGACAGACACUGAUUCUGGUCAGCGUGAUCCUCUCAAGUUUCUCUUGGAUGAGAUUCCCUGGAUUCGCAUCGGUCUCAUCAGUGGAGUUCUUUUUCUUACUGCGGUCAUUCUGGGUUUAUUGCAGGUAUUUGGAAGAAUCUGAGUCAUCACAUGAAAAGUAAAGGAGGUGUUAAAGUUUCUGACAUUUCCAAGCAAACAGAUGAUUUUGUGUGCUGUAAAAAUGUACUAGUAGGUUCAACAAUAUACAGGUCCUUCUCAAAAAAUUAGCAUAUUGUGAAAAAGUUCAUUAUUUUCCAUAAUGUAAUGAUAAAAAUUAAACUUUCAUAUAUUUUAGAUUCAUCGCACACCAACUGAAAUAUUUCAGGUCUUUUAUUGUUUUAAUACUGAUGAUUUUGGCAUACAGCUCAUGAAAACCCAAAAUUCCUAUCUCAAAAAAUUAGCAUAUCAUGAAAAGGUUCUCUAAACGAGCUAUUAACCUAAUCAUCUGAAUCAACUAAUUAACUCUAAACACCUGCAAAAGAUUCCUGAGGCUUUUAAAAACUCCCAGCCUGGUU
ensembl:lncRNA